rnacentral:rRNA from 1 species
GGCGGAGGCCUACACAUGCAAGUCGAGCGCACCUUCGGGUGAGCGGCGGACGGGUUAGUAACGCGUGGGAACGUACCCUUUUCUACGGAAUAGCCUUUGGAAACGAAGAGUAAUACCGUAUACGCCCUUUGGGGGAAAGAUUUAUCGGAGAAGGAUCGGCCCGCGUUAGAUUAGAUAGUCGGUGGGGUAACGGCCUACCAAGUCUACGAUCUAUAGCUGGUUUUAGAGGAUGAUCAGCAACACUGGGACUGAGACACGGCCCAGACUCCUACGGGAGGCAGCAGUGGGGAAUCUUAGACAAUGGGCGCAAGCCUGAUCUAGCCAUGCCGCGUGAGUGAUGAAGGCCUUAGGGUCGUAAAGCUCUUUCGCCUGUGAUGAUAAUGACAGUAGCAGGUAAAGAAACCCCGGCUAACUCCGUGCCAGCAGCCCGCGGUAAUACGGAGGGGGUUAGCGUUGUUCGGAAUUACUGGGCGUAAAGCGCACGUAGGCCGGAUUGGAAAGUUGGGGGUGAAAUCCCGGGGCUCAACCCCGGAACUGCCUCCAAAACUAUCAAGNCUAAGAGUUCCAAGAGAGGUUAGUGGAAAUUCCAAGUGUAGANGGUGAAAUUUGUA